rnacentral:rRNA from 1 species
CUACGUGCCAGCAGCCGCGGUAAUACGGAAGGUCCAGGCGUUAUCCGGAUUUAUUGGGUUUAAAGGGAGCGUAGGCUGGAGAUUAAGUGUGUUGUGAAAUGUAGACGCUCAACGUCUGAAUUGCAGCGCAUACUGGUUUCCUUGAGUACGCACAACGUUGGCGGAAUUCGUCGUGUAGCGGUGAAAUGCUUAGAUAUGACGAAGAACUCCGAUUGCGAAGGCAGCUGACGGGAGCGCAACUGACGCUUAAGCUCGAAGGUGCGGGUAUCGAACAGGAUUAGAUACCCUGGUAGUCCGCACAGUAAACGAUGGAUGCCCGCUGUUAGCGCCUGGCGUUAGCGGCUAAGCGAAAGCAUUAAGCAUCCCACCUGGGGAGUACGCCGGCAACGGUGAAACUCAAAGGAAUUGACGGGGGCCCGCACAAGCGGAGGAACAUGUGGUUUAAUUCGAUGAUACGCGAGGAACCUUACCCGGGCUUGAA